rnacentral:rRNA from 1 species
CAGGUCUUGACAUCCAGAGAACUUUCCAGAGAUAGAUUGGUGCCUUCGGGAACCGAGUGACAGGUGCUGCAUGGCUGUCGUCAGCUCGUGUCGUGAGAUGUUGGGUUAAGUCCCGUAACGAGCGCAACCCUUAUCCUUAUUUGCCAGCGGUUCGGCCGGGAACUCUAAGGAGACUGCCGGUGACAAACCGGAGGAAGAUGGGGACGACGUCAAGUCACCAUGGCCCUUACGACCUGGGCUACACACGUGCUACAAUGGGGCGUACAAAGGGUUGCGAAGCCGCGAGGUGGAGCUAAUCCCAUAAAACGUCUCGUAGUCCGGAUUGCAGUCUGCAACUCGACUGCAUGAAGUCGGAAUCGCUAGUAAUCGCGAAUCAGAAUGUCGCGGUGAAUACGUUCCC